UGGGGAAUAUUGCACAAUGGGCGCAAGCCUGAUGCAGCCAUGCCGCGUGUAUGAAGAAGGCCUUCGGGUUGUAAAGUACUUUCAGUCGGGAGGAAGGUGUCAAGGUUAAUAACCUUGGCAAUUGACGUUACCGACAGAAGAAGCACCGGCUAACUCCGUGCCAGCAGCCGCGGUAAUACGGAGGGUGCAAGCGUUAAUCGGAAUUACUGGGCGUAAAGCGCACGCAGGCGGUUGAUUGAGUCAGAUGUGAAAUCCCCGGGCUUAACCCGGGAAUUGCAUCUGAUACUGGUCAGCUAGAGUCUUGUAGAGGGGGGUAGAAUUCCAUGUGUAGCGGUGAAAUGCGUAGAGAUGUGGAGGAAUACCGGUGGCGAAGGCGGCCCCCUGGACAAAGACUGACGCUCAGGUGCGAAAGCGUGGGGAGCAAACAGG
rnacentral:rRNA from 5 species